ACCUUUCUAGUAUAAAGUAGUAUAAGUGACUUCCAAUCACCCSGUCUUGRUUAAACCCCAGGGAAAGAUA
rnacentral:tRNA from 1 species